GUAGGUGGCGAGCGUUAUCCGGAAUUAUUGGGCGUAAAGAGGGAGCAGGCGGCACUAAGGGUCUGUGGUGAAAGAUCGAAGCUUAACUUCGGUAAGCCAUGGAAACCGUAGAGCUAGAGUGUGUGAGAGGAUCGUGGAAUUCCAUGUGUAGCGGUGAAAUGCGUAGAUAUAUGGAGGAACACCAGUGGCGAAGGCGACGAUCUGGCGCAUAACUGACGCUCAGUCCCGAAAGCGUGGGGAGCAAAUAGGAUUAGAUACCCUAGUAGUCCACGCCGUAAACGAUGAGUACUAAGUGUUGGGUGUCAAAGCUCAGUGCUGCAGUUAACGCAAUAAGUACUCCGCCUGAGUAGUACGUUCGCAAGAAUG
rnacentral:rRNA from 1 species